rnacentral:sRNA from 1 species
AAACCACGGACGCGAAAGAAAAAAAAAGAGAGGGA